UGAGGAAUAUUGGUCAAUGGGCGCGAGCCUGAACCAGCCAAGUAGCGUGAAGGAUGACUGCCCUACGGGUUGUAAACUUCUUUUAUAAAGGAAUAAAGUGAGGCACGUGUGCCUUUUUGUAUGUACUUUAUGAAUAAGGAUCGGCUAACUCCUUGCCAGCAGCCGCGGUAAUACGGAGGAUCCGAGCGUUAUCCGGAUUUAUUGGGUUUAAAGGGAGCGUAGAUGGAUGUUUAAGUCAGUUGUGAAAGUUUGCGGCUCAACCGUAAAAUUGCAGUUGAUACUGGACAUCUUGAGUGCAGUUGAGGCAGGCGGAAUUCGUGGUGUAGCGGUGAAAUGCUUAGAUAUCACGAAGAACUCCGAUUGCGAAGGCAGCCUGCUAAGCUGCAACUGACAUUGAGGCUCGAAAGUGUGGGUAUCAAACAGG
rnacentral:rRNA from 1 species